rnacentral:rRNA from 1 species
GACGCACGCUGGCGGCGUGCCUAAUACAUGCAAGUAGAACGCAGUUGCGAACGGGUGAGUAACGCGUAGGUAACUGCCUCAUAGCGGGGGAUAACUAUUGGAAACGAUAGCUAAUACCGCAUCCUGUGAGAUGGACCUGCGUUGUAUUAGCUAGUUGGUGAGGUAAAGGCUCACCAAGGCGACGUUACAUAGCCGACCUGAGAGGAUGAUCGGCCACACUGUGACUGAGACACGUAUCAGUCUCCGCCGGGAGGCAGAUGAAGGGAAUAUGCGGACAUGGAGCGAAGGCUGACAGAGCAACGCGGCGAGAGGGAAGAAUGUUGUCAGGUCGAAAAGCUCUGUUGGUAGAGAAGCGGUAACUAACCGAAGAGGGGCGGCUAACUACAUGCCAGCAGCCGCGGUAAUUC